GGUGGAGUGUGGCAGCACUCGCAGCGGAUGCACUCUCUUUGCGCGGGCCCCGCCCUUCCUUGCCUCACGCGAGGGCCCCGCGGGCGGCCGAGCCCUGGUGGUAUCGCGAGACUCUAGCCCUCGUGGUGGCGCUUCUUUCCUCGCCGGCCUCCACCUACCCGCGACGCCUCGACCCGCCCCCACAGCGGCCCAACUUGUCUGGAGUUGAGGUCCUGAGCGCCUAGUUCCUGCACCCGGCCAACGGAGAGCCCCGCGCCGCCGCCUCGCCUCCGGGAUCCCCCGCUCCGCUCCUCUCCGUUCCCGCGACGCGAAAAGUUGGCGAGGAGGCGCGCUCCUAGCCGGUGCGGGGCUCUCGGUCACCGGCGCCCCGGGCGCCUGAGGCGGCGGCUCUGCUGGGUCCUGUGGUACCAGAGUUCCUUCCCCGGGAUCCUCUCACCAGUCGCUGCGGGUACGGGCUCCUGGCCUCGCCUCCCCGUCCCAGAGCGGUGCAAGGGGAGCAGGAGCAGAUGGAGCAGGGGUAGAAGACCCGAGGACUUUGGGCGGCGGGAGCGGAGACUCUAGAGCGAGCGUGAGAAGGAGCCACAGGCUGCCCGGGUGGAGGAGCGAGGCUGACAGCGCGGUGGCGGCGCCAGGGACCCCGCGGCACAGAGGCAGCUCCGCUGUCCAGGCCGCCCCCCGGGUCCUGAUGAAGAAUGCAAGUGUAAUUUGUCCUGGAAGGCAAGAUGCUACUGAAUAAAACAAAGCAUAUGUGGAGAUCUGACACAGUGUUUUAGUGUCUUCAACUUGAGAGUGUUGAACAUUUUGUACUUGUGAGUCAAGUUCUGCGGUAAUAAAGAUGGCACAUUGAUCUAUGCCCUUGACUUG
rnacentral:lncRNA from 1 species